rnacentral:rRNA from 1 species
ACGGGAGGCAGCAGUGGGGAAUAUUGCACAAUGGGGGAAACCCUGAUGCAGCGACGCCGCGUGAGUGAAGAAGUAUUUCGGUAUGUAAAGCUCUAUCAGCAGGGAAGAUAAUGACGGUACCUGACUAAGAAGCCCCGGCUAACUACGUGCCAGCAGCCGCGGUAGUACGUAGGGGGCAAGCGUUAUCCGGAUUUACUGGGUGUAAAGGGAGCGUAGACGGUUUGGCAAGUCUGAAGUGAAAGCCCGGGGCUCAACCCCGGUAUUGCUUUGGAAACUGUUGAACUAGAGUGCCGGAGGGGUAAGCGGAAUUCCUAGUGUAGCGGUGAAAUGCGUAGAUAUUAGGAGGAACACCAGUGGCGAAGGCGGCUUACUGGACGGUAACUGACGUUGAGGCUCGAAAGCGUGGGGAGCAAACAGGAUUAGAUACCCUGGUA